rnacentral:rRNA from 1 species
GUGGGGAAUAUUGGACAAUGGGCGCAAGCCUGAUCCAGCCAUGCCGCGUGAGUGAUGAAGGCCUUAGGGUUGUAAAGCUCUUUCACCGAUGAAGAUAAUGACGGUAGUCGGAGAAGAAGCCCCGGCUAACUUCGUGCCAGCAGCCGCGGUAAUACGAAGGGGGCUAGCGUUGUUCGGAUUUACUGGGCGUAAAGCGCACGUAGGCGGUUUGUUAAGUCAGAGGUGAAAUCCCGGAGCUCAACUCCGGAACUGCCUUUGAUACUGGCAAGCUAGAGUCCGGAAGAGGUAAGUGGAACUCCUAGUGUAGAGGUGGAAUUCGUAGAUAUUAGGAAGAACACCAGUGGCGAAGGCGGCUUACUGGUCCGGAACUGACGCUGAGGUGCGAAAGCGUGGGGAGCAAACAGGAUUAGAUACCCGGGUAGUCC